ACUACCCGCUGAACUUAAGCAUAUCAAUAAGCGGAGGAAAAGAAACUAACAAGGAUUCCCCUAGUAACUGCGAGUGAAGCGGGAAAAGCUCAAAUUUAAAAUCUGGCGGCUUCGCCGUCCGAGUUGUAAUCUGGAGAAGCGUUUUCCGUGUUGGACCGUGUACAAGUCUCUUGGAACAGAGCGUCAUAGAGGGUGAGAGUCCCGUCUUUGACACGGACUACCAAUGCUUUGUGAUACGCUCUCGAAGAGUCGAGUUGUUUGGGAAUGCAGCUCAAAAUGGGUGGUAAAUUCCAUCUAAAGCUAAAUAUUGGCGAGAGACCGAUAGCGAACAAGUACCGUGAGGGAAAGAUGAAAAGCACUUUGGAAAGAGAGUUAAACAGUACGUGAAAUUGUUGAAAGGGAAACGCUUGAAGUCAGUCGCGUUGUCCGGGACUCAGCCUUGCUUCUGCUUGGUGUAUUUCCUGGUUGACGGGCCAACAUCGAUUUUGGACGGCGGAUAAAGGUGAGGGGAAUGUGGCAUCCUCGGAUGUGUUAUAGCCUCUCGUCGGAUGCGUCGUCUGGGAUCGAGGACCGCAGCACGCCUUUUUGGCCGGGGUUCGCCCACGUAACGUGCUU
rnacentral:rRNA from 1 species